rnacentral:lncRNA from 1 species
GGGCCCUGCGCCCCUCGGCCGCGGCUGCCGCGGGCUCCGCGGGGGCUGGUGCUGGCCGCCUCGCGUGGGCUGGGAGGUCCCGUGGUACUUGCUGCUCCCGUAGGAAAUCAGGCGGAGUGAGGCCCUCCUCCCCCGAGAGAAGAAAAAACAGAAAUUUCCACUGUGAGCAGGGGGCUGUCCUAGAGCUCGCGCUUCUUCUGGUGCAAGAGCACAACCCCUUUUCUCCGAUAUAAGUAAUAACAACCUACAGCUAUAUCCAGAAACCCAAAGCAGAAGUUCUUGCUGCAGGAUUCCUCGCUGCGCUGAUUGUGUUGAAGGUUCAGUUUCUGUCACAAAACAGAGAACAGGAUCCRUUGGAGACCGCCCAGCAAGACCUACUCUUUUAGAACAAGUAUUAAAUCAAAAGAGGCUGAUGUGUCUCAGCCUCUACACAGAGAAUACUAAGAUGACCGAAUUUCUUGAUCGCUGCCAUGUUAACUGAAGU